GAUGAACGCUGGCGGCGUGCCUAAUACAUGCAAGUCGAGCGAACAGACGAGGAGCUUGCUCCUCUGACGUUAGCGGCGGACGGUUGAGUAACACGUGGAUAACCUACCUAUAAGACUGGGAUAACUUCGGGAAACCGGAGCUAAUACCGGAUAAUAUAUUGAACCGCAUGGUUCAAUAGUGAAAGACGGUUUUGCUGUCACUUAUAGAUGGAUCCGCGCUGCAUUAGCUAGUUGGUAAGGUAACGGCUUACCAAGGCAACGAUGCGUAGCCGACCUGAGAGGGUGAUCGGCCACACUGGAACUGAGACACGGUCCAGACUCCUACGGGAGGCAGCAGUAGGGAAUCUUCCGCAAUGGGCGAAAGCCUGACGGAGCAACGCCGCGUGAGUGAUGAAGGUCUUCGGAUCGUAAAACUCUGUUAUUAGGGAAGAACAAAUGUGUAAGUAACUGUGCACAUCUUGACGGUACCUAAUCAGAAAGCCACGGCUAACUACGUG
rnacentral:rRNA from 1 species